AAUAUUUUAAAUAUUAUGGAGACACCACGUUAGAGUACAAACUUCAUACUUUGUUUGUACAUGUGUAGAAAAAGAUAAUAUUAGGAAAUUGGAGUUAAAUGAGUGUUGGGAGGACUAAGUUAAGAUGGAAAGAAACUUAAAGGGAAAAACAGUAAUUUUGGAUAAAGUUUGGUCAAAGCUUCCAAAAGAAGCUUUGACUCUCAUCUUUAUCAACCCAAAACCGUCCUUAUCCUCCCAGCAAGAUAUUUUCUUCUUCAUUCUUGAAGCUUCCAACGCCAUUCUCUCAUUCUCCCAUGGAAAGCUAAUUUUCUUUCAUUUACUUUCCUUCUUUUCUUUUCAUUUCUUUUCUCUUCUUGCUUCUUUCUUCUCCUAACUUCUUGUGCACCAAAGUUACUGUCAUGACCCGGCACUCCCCUCAAGCCAGUGACAACCGUCGCGGUGUCUUGAUCGACACUCAUUGCUCGGAAUGUCAACCAAAAUCCUGCAAGGCUUUAAUAUUAGUUUCUCAUUUCCCCUGUGAGUAACUGUUACCAAAUAUCAUGUUCUAAAAGAUUUGAAGCUAUUUCCAACUUAAAUCAAUAAAAAAAAUGAUUUCUAUCUCAUAGAGGUAUUUUGGUUAUUUUUUUCCAAAAAUCUCGAAACCAGCUAAAAAUGUAGUAUGCGAGUGGAAAACACAUAUUUCAUAAUCAAAAAUAAGUUUAGAUGCCUAAAACAUUCAUUUAAAAUGAAAUUAUGACUAUUUGAAUAUAAUAAAAAUAUUCAAUAAAAUAUUCUAUUUUCUUAUAAAACAAUAUUUAUAGAAUUACCAGUAAAUAAAUUUUAUAGCGUAAAAGCUAAAUAAAUUCAUACAUACUGUAAUACAGAUAACCAAAGUAUAAAAUUAAUUUACAGUGACACGUGGGCCCACGAAUGACUAAAAGUAUCAAAAGUGGCAAACCUACAGUUUUUGAGGAUGCAAGUCCAAUUGUAGCCCUUAACAAAGUGAGCUAUCUACCGACUAUCCUGAGCCUAAAAUGGGUGGAAAGGAGGGUGGUGAGAUUAUAUAAUCCCAGUGAGUAAACAAAUACCAUCUAAAAUAUCUAAAACUGAGUAAAUGGAAACAGAUAAAAUAGAUUAGCAUAAAAAUGAUUCUCAGCAUUUUGAACUCAUUUUAAUAAGAUAAAAUAGAUUCAUUUCACCAAAAUAAACAACGAGGCUUAUGAUUUCCUGAAAAGUUUGGCUCGUGCCAAAAUCAUUCUCAUACUCAAUUAUCAGGGAUACCUUGACCGAGGGCUAUCCCAACUGAGUCGGCCAAGGCUGUUAAAAAGUCAUGUACGCAUAAAUCAUGUUUUUUUUUUUAUUUUGAAAACAUAGUCGUUCCUUGGCAUUGGCUGCGUUCACCCUCACGUGGUGGUUUGGCGUGAAGUGAACUCUAAAGUUUUAACCUCAGGAGUUAUCCAACCGCGCCUCUCAUACUUAGGUAUGAAUAUAAUAGGGUUACCGUGCCCCUCAAUAGGCUGGUCCAUGGAACCCGUCCAUUGCAACGACCAAUUUAUAACCCACCAAUUCAAUAAAAUUCAACAGCAUGACAUGGCAAUUAUUUUAUUUUACAGCCUCUCAAGGCAAAUCAACAGUUCAUACAUUUUCAACACAAAUACCAAUUCAACCAUUCAUGCCAAUAUUAUCAUAAGCCAUUCAAUUCAAACCAUGAUUUAUAACACAGCAAUUAGUCUCCAAUUACUCCAUUUUCAAAGCCAUCAUUCAAUUUCAAGACAAUUUUAUAAAAUCAUUUCAUUUAAUCACAUUUUGCUUAUAAAACAUAAAGAUUUACCAUUUAAACUCAUUUUCCAUAAAAUCACAAAAACGAAUUAAAAUUCACUUUAGAUAAUCAAGAUGAUGAUAAGGUUACUCACUGUAAUGGGAAUCGAAUUUCGAGUACUCCGAUUCUUGAUCCUCGAUUUCUAUCUCUUUACUUUUGUCAAAAUGCUCACCACAUAGACAAUACACGACACAUAAUUCAAUAUACUGUGUCAUACCAUUAUAAAUCUAUUUCAGGCUCUUUACUAAUGCAUGAAAUGGGAUGUGAAACGCUCGGGUAACCAUCUAAAUAUGGUGUUCAGUAUAAGUUCAAUUGUGUACCUAAAUAAAAUGAUAUUGGCCUAAUUCGGUCUGUCACCCGAUUAAUUGGCCAAUAUGUCCAAUUCAACUCCAAAUAAUUCCAUUUUUAUCCCAAUACUCCAAAUCAUCAAACACAAAUUAAAUAACCUGAAAUAUGGCAAAAUCAUCCUCACAUUUUCUCUUGGAAAUUUCGGCCAUGGAGGGUUCACUAACAAUAUAAUUUUUCAAGCUUGAUUCUCACACCAUAAAUCACUAAUUCUUAACCAAAUCACUUGAAAUAAAAUCAAAAUCAUCAUCAAUAUUCCACAUGGAGAAUUCGGCCAAUGAUGGGUUAUGGAAGAACAUGAAAUUUUCUUGCUUGAUUUUCAUGCUACACAUCAUUAACUAACUAAAAACACUAAAAUACAUUGAAAUCUAACCAAAUCAAGCAUCAAACCUCCCUCUAAGUGUUCGGCCAGCAAGAGAUUCAUCAUGAUUUCAUAUGAUUCAACCAUGAAAAAUAAGAAAAAAUGCUUACGAAAAAGAGAUCUCAAGCUUAAUUGAAAAAUCUUACCUUUUUUUCACUUGUUUCCUUGAAUUUUCACACUUUUCCUUUGAAUUUUUCCACCUAGAGUUUUGUUCUUCCUUUUUCUUCCUUUGUUCUUGCUUUGGC
rnacentral:lncRNA from 1 species